UAUGCUUCGGCCCCGGAUGGUCCCGGCCGGUUUCCGGUUCGGGUGAAAAGGGAAUGCGAAGGGCGCGUUGCGCCUUGAUCGCAGCCGACCCCGCGACUGUAGAGCGGCGAGGCUUCCCCCACUGUCAUUCCACGGCGGACCCAUUCCGGGCGCCGAAGACGACAGGAAACGCCACUGAGGCCGAAAGGCUUCGGGAAGGCAGGGGGAUGACCGACGACCCGCGAGCCAGGAGACCUGCCAUCCGAUCAUGGCCGCG
rnacentral:ncRNA from 2 species